AAGGAUCAUUGAACAUGUCAGUCCCAUCCGGUCACCAAUCGUACCCCCGGACCAGCCGUGAGUGCGCUUGCGGUGUGCAAGGAGCGGGCGGCCAGUCGGCUACGCUUCGGCGGGCCUCUGGCGUGAGACCGAGACAGCCUUGCAGGCCGGACCCGGACUGUGACCCGGCCGGUCCUCCGACCGACUCACAAACCUGAUGCUGAAGCUUUUGGAAUCCGCCUGCCGCUCCUGGCGAGCUGGUUGGCCGGACGCUGAACCUAAGACAACUCUCAACAACGGAUAUCUUGGCUCCCGCACCGAUGAAGAACGCAGCGAAAUGCGAUACCUAGUGUGAAUUGCAGAAUCAUGUGAAUCAUCGAGUCUUUGAACGCAAAUUGCGCCCAAGGUUUAGGCCAAGGGCAUGGCUGGCUCAGCGUCGAUGCACUCCCUCGCUCUCGCGUAUGCGACAGCGGAUCAUGGUUCCCCCGGCCUUUGGAUCGGGCGAACUGAAGCGCAAGCGGCUCCUGAGACGUCCAUGGCGGCAAGCUCUGGCAGCGUGGUAAGCGGCCCUCAUCGGUUGUUAUGCCUACCUGUCUAGGGGACUGUCUUUGGGCGUCUGAGGGGCUGGAUAAUGCAGGAACCAGCAGCAGCUGGCGACAUCAAACUUCGACCUGAGCUCAGGUAAGAGCACCCGCUGAACUUAA
rnacentral:sRNA from 1 species